rfam:Aedes aegypti strain Liverpool supercont1.116 genomic scaffold, whole genome shotgun sequence.
UGUCCAGUAACUCCUAUCCCUACCUCCCCGUGGUGCCGCCUGGGGUACGAGUAGGUAACCGUAGGGAAGAUCGGGUAACCAAACCUGGUGGGACCUUGGUCGUAUGCUGACAGGGAAGG